CCUACGGGAGGCAGCAGUAGGGAAUAUUGCUCAAUGGGGGAAACCCUGAAGCAGCAACGCCGCGUGGAGGAUGAAGGUUUUCGGAUUGUAAACUUCUUUUGUUAGAGAAGAUAAUGACGGUAUCUAUCUCAUAAGCACCGGCUAACUCCGUGCCCGCAGCCGCGGUAAUACGGAGGGUGCAAGCGUUAUUCGGAAUCACUGGGCGUAAAGAGCGCGUAGGCGGGAUAUCAAGUCAGAUGUGAAAUCCUAUGGCUUAACCAGAGAACUGCAUUUGAAACUGUUAUUCUAGAGUAUGGGAGAGGUAGGUGGAAUUCUUGGUGGAGGGGGAAAAUGCGUAGAGAUCAAGAGGAAUACGCAUUGCGAAGGCGACCUGCUAGAACAUAACUGACGCUGAUGCGCGAAAGCGUGGGGAGCAAACAGGAUUAGAUACCCCAGUAGUC
rnacentral:rRNA from 1 species